rnacentral:rRNA from 1 species
UACGUAGGGUGCAAGCGUUGUCCGGAAUUAUUGGGCGUAAAGAGCUCGUAGGCGGUUUGUUGCGUCGGCCGUGAAAUCCCGAGGCUCAACCUCGGGUCUGCAGUCGAUACGAGCAAACUAGAGUGUUGCAGGGGAGACUGGAAUUCCUGGUGUAGCGGUGAAAUGCGCAGAUAUCAGGAGGAACACCGGUGGCGAAGGCGGGUCUCUGGGCAGAUACUGACGCUAAGGCGCGAAAGCGUGGGGAGCGAACAGG